rnacentral:tRNA from 1 species
GGGCCUCUAGCUCAAUUGGUUAGAGCAGCGGACUUUUAAUCCGCGGGUUGUGGGUUCGAGUCCCACGGGGCCCA